UUUCCGUAGGUGAACCUGCGGAAGGAUCAUUCAUAAUAAGUGUUUUAUGGCACUUUUUAAAUCCAUAUCCACCUUGUGUGCAAUGUCAGGGUUGAUUUUUCUCUCGAGAGGAUCAGCCCCAAACAUCAACUAUAUCUCAACUCUUUGUCUGAGAAGUAUUAUGAAUAAAACAAUUCAAAAUACAACUUUCAACAACGGAUCUCUUGGCUCUC
rnacentral:misc_RNA from 1 species